GUUUGCUGCCUAAUACCUCAGACAAUUCUAAAGCAAGAAACUCACAUUCUGUGGACAAUAUUGCAACAGAUUCAAGUGCACACCAUGAUGAAGAUGGUACUGAUGAAGAUGGUGAUGAAGAUGUUGCUGAUGAAUAUGAUGCAAACUCUAAUGAGGACUUUUAUUAGCUAUAUUGUUAGCUUCCUUGCUUAAGAAUGAUUAUAUUAUAAAGACCAAAUAUUGAAUAUUUAUCUUUAUCUGAACAUGUAUGAAUGAUUAACUAUGUUUCUUCUAAUGCAAUUUUUUUUUUAUGAAGAUUUAAUUGUCUCCUUGUUAAUUGACAAUUAA
rnacentral:lncRNA from 1 species